AGCAGCCGCGGUAAUUCCAGCUCCAAUAGCGUAUAUUAAAGUUGUUGCAGUUAAAAAGCUCGUAGUUGAAUUUCGAGACCGGUUUACUGGUCGUGCUUUUGUACGUACUGGUAUUAUUGGUUUCUCCUUUCUGACGAACUAUAAUGCCAUUAAUUUGGUGUUUUAGGGAAUCAGGACUGUUACUUUGAAAAAAUUAGAGUGUUUAAAAGCAGGCUCACGCUUGAAUACAUUAGCAUGGAAUAACGGAAUAGGACGUUUGAUUCUAUUUUGUUGGUUUCUAGGAUCGACGUAAUGAUUAAUAGGGAUAGUUGGGGGCAUUAGUAUUCAAUUAUCAGAGGUGAAAUUCUUAGAUUUAUUGAAGACUAACUACUGCGAAAGCAUUUGCCAAGGAUGUUUCAUUAAUCAAGAACGAAAGUUAGGGGAUCGAAGACGAUCAGAUACCGUCGUAGUCUUAACCAUAAACUAUGCCGACUAGGGAUCGGAUGAUGUUAAUUUUUAAUGUACUCAUUCGGCGCCUUAC
rnacentral:rRNA from 1 species